GAUGAACGCUGGCGGCGUGCCUAAUACAUGCAAGUCGAGCGAACAGACGAGGAGCUUGCUCUUCUGACGUUAGCGGCGGACGGGUGAGUAACACGUGGAUAACCUACCUAUAAGACUGGGAUAACUUCGGGAAACCGGAGCUAAUACCGGAUAAUAUAUUGAACCGCAUGGUUCAAUAGUGAAAGACGGUUUUGCUGUCACUUAAAGAUGGAUCCGCGCCGCAUUAGCUAGUUGGUAAGGUAACGGCUUACCAAGGCAACGAUGCGUAGCCGACCUGAGAGGGUGAUCGGCCACACUGGAACUGAGACACGGUCCAAACUCCUACGGGAGGCAGCAGUAGGGAAUCUUCCGCAAUGGGCGAAAGCCUGACGGAGCAACGCCGCGUGAGUGAUGAAGGUCUUCGGAUCGUAAACCUCUGUUAUUAGGGAAGAACAAAUGUGUAAGUAACUAUGCACGUCUUGACGGUACCUAAUCAGAAAGCCACGGCUAACUACGUG
rnacentral:rRNA from 1 species